UCUUUUUUUUAAGGACUCUCUCUUUUUCCAGCUUCUCUUUUCUUUCUCUUUGCUCUCUCUCUUUUAUAGGUUACUGCAUCUUUCACAUUCUUCAUUGUUAUUUUUUUAAUUUUUCUUCAUUCUCUCAUUUAUUUACAUAUCAUCUCUUUAUCUUUAUCAAUGUAUUGCAUCUUUGUGAUUCUUUUAAUUUUUAUUUUUUUUAGGUGGUAGAUCUACUUCAAAAUGAAAACUGAAUAUUAAAAGUGAUAUAAAUCUAUUGAAACAAAGAGGAACACAAUACUGAAACAAUAGCAUUGACAAUAUUUGUGAAAAUAUAAAUUAUGAACAAGAGAGAAAGAAAAAGUACCAGAAGAUGGUGUGUGUAUGAACAAGGAGGACCCCACACACACCAUGUAUUGUUUUUUCUUUCUUCUUUCAAAUCAAAUCUCCUCCUAAAUCAACAAAUUAAUUAAUUAAAUAAUUAAUCAGUCUUUUAUUUAUUUAGUACUACUGUUCUUAAAAUUUAAAUUUGACUUUAAAUUUGACUGUAUAUGAAGUAAGACAAUUACGAAACAAUUUUAUGGAAUAUAUAUAUAUAUAUAUAUAUAUAUAUAUAUAUAUAUUCCAAAAAAGCAUUAUUAUUGAAUUAAGAUUUCUUAUUGUAAACUUAUUAUUGUAAAUAACAUAAUUUAUUUGGUAUGAUAUAUUUAACAUUUGAAUUUAAAAAUAAAAAUUUUGAAAGCUAUAUAAUUUAUCAGACAUGACAUAAAGCUUUGCAUAUAAAGUUGUAAUGAGAAAAAAAUUGUUGUAAAUCAUUCAAUAUGACUUUUGAUUGAUACUCUUACAACAUUCAAUAUUUUUAUCUAUGAAAUCACUCAGUUUGCUUUUGGUAUAAUCUCAUAAAUGCUUUAUUUUCAAUCAUGAUUAUGUUUCCCAUGUUUUGCCCUGUUUGAAAUAUAGUAGCUGUGAAAGUCUAAAACAUGCAUUUAUAAAUUGCAGUAACCAAUGAACAUUGCACCUACCAAAGACAUUGGGUCUGUUUGGUAAAAAUAGCGGUUGACUGAUAAGCUAGCUUAUAGCUUAUGACUGAUGGCUGAUGACUGAUGACUUAUAGCUUAUAGCGGAUGGUUGAGACUGAUAGCUUAUAAGCUCACUGAAGUGUUUGGUAAAAUUAGCGGUUCAAUUAACUUAUAAAUGUAAAAUGACAUAAAAGAUAUUUAAUAUAUAAUUAUUUUAUUUUAAAUUAAAAUAAAUUAUAAAGGUUAAAAACGGAUUUUAAUUAAAAUAAUAAGGAUAAAAAAGGAAGAAAAAAUAAUAAGCUAUAAGACAUAAGUUAAAACGCUAUUUGAAAUAGCGUCUGAAAAAUAAGCUAUAAGCUAGUAAAAUAAGCUAUAAGCUC